GCCUGUUUUCUGCUAUUGUUGAUGUGAAAUAUUCAAGUGUCCUGCUGUUCAGUCCUGUUUCAGACAAGCAGAAGUGGACAGGCAACAGACACAGCUGUCAGACAGGCAGCAACUGCCACAGCCCGGCUGAGGGUCUGGAACUAGGAGCUGAGGGAUCUGAUGGACAGGACAGCCGCCAGACCCAACCAAUGGAUACCAGAGACCGCAGCAGUGCCCCACAGGGAAAGGAGCCCUCUCAUUUCCUUUUCCUUCCCAGAUAGAAAGAUACUAAAGAGAGACUAGCUGAGAAAGAAAGAGGAUACUUCUAAAUACCAGUAUUCCAUCUAAGAAAAGGGAAAAAAAAAACAAGAGGAAGGCACCAAACCACAACUAUCAAGUUCAGAGCGGACUGGAGCCCGUCCUGCUGGAGCAGGCUCCUCAGGCAUGUCGGUGGCACACAGAUGCAAUUCACCUGCUCUGCUCUACUCCUUACCCUGAGUACUCGGUAUCCUGACCCACAUCUGAAAGAAAAGCUCGGAAGCUGAGACAGAAAAUCUAUCUAUUCCACUAAAAAGGUCAGAACUUACUGAUUGGAGUUGCAGUCAUCAGCUGAUGGGCCGGAGAGGGAGAAGCACCCAGACACAAAGGAGCCCAUUGGGUCAUGUAUUACUAGUCCACUUUACCCAGUACAGUCAGGACCCCCUCCCCCAGCCCGUCCACUGUCAAGAAAACAGGAAGCACUGGUGAACAGAUAUGGAACGCUCGGGCCCAGGUAGACAGAUCCUAAUACAGAGAGAGAAUAAACCUGCAUAGGUUUACUUUGACCAAGGCACCAGCUCUAUCGAGCACCCACGUAAUCAGACGCUUCUGCAGCCACUCCAGGAAUGAAGACUGCCUGAACAGACCUUAGAGAGCAAAGGGCCACAAGAAACUCUGUAACCUCUAAUCCGCACCCUCAGUUUACAACGAAGGCAUUUCUGGUCUAAUCAAACAACCUGCUUCAAGUCAUCAACAACUGUGAGCGUCGGAACGAAAGCGGAGGCCACUCAGUGUCCCUCCACAGCACCAUGCCACUGCCACCAAAGCUGCAUCGUUGCUCACAGAUGUGUGCAGAUGUGUAACCAGUUUAUACACGGUCAUGCAAGAAACACCACCAAACAGAGUGAUCACAGCUUGCCAAUUUGGCAAACCAUGAAAGGGUACUUUACCUGCCCCUAAAACCCAAAUUACAUUUUACUCACAUCAUUCACUUAUAUCCAUAGAAACUGGCCAAAUGCUUUUCAGAUAUAUUCCACACUCACAUUUCCCAAAGAGAAAAUGCAGUGAAACCACCAGCAUGAAAUUAAUGAGAAGGGGACUAGUACCUUCCCCAGA